CCGCAGCCUCAAGGACCGGCUCGAGUUCGCCCCGCGCGCCGUGCUGGACCGCAACCGCCCGGGGGGCGCCUAGGGCCCGGCGUCGCCCCCGCCUGCGCCGCUGCCCGGAGGGGCCGAGCCGAAUUGAACCCCCGUCCAGGAUUGAGGCUCUGAGCCUUUUGCCUGUCAUCCCCAGGCUCCCUGUAUGCAGAAAUGCAGCUGCGUCUGGAGAGGGAGGUCAUUCCCUUCUGGUGUGCACACAAUCUCUGCUCCACAGCUGGGACACGGGACGUUUUACUCCAAGGCCACUGGACCCCCAUCGCCCUUGCAGAGGGCCUGUAAUAGCCACACCGCAUGGAUCCAGCCUCACAACUCAAGGAUCUCAUUCCUUCAGCGGAAGAGACGCCGCUCAGUUUCUCUGCCUAGGAGGAUCUGCCUUGACUGCUGGCCUAGUUGGCAAAGUGCUGAGGCCUGCAUCUCCCACUCAAAUUAAAGGGCUACAGAGCCAGGCUCCCUCUCAGCAGAAGAGUCUGGGCCUUGGAGCCCAAGUGAGCAGAGGCAAGAUCAGAUGUCAACCCUCAUAUUCAGCCUUCUCUACUGGCAAGCUCCAGGCUGUGCCCCCUGCAGCAUGCUGCAGCAGGGACCUGGGGUCAGGUUUGCACAUGCAGGGGACCUGGCUCUGAAAGACCAGCACAGGCCAGACCUAUUGUGUGCAUCUCCGCUGGAUUGACCUGCACGACCAGACUCCUCUCGUGACACUGCCGAGGUGGUUUAAGAAAGCACCUAGUGAGGACUGGUGCCCUGCUGAGGCUGCAGGGUGUGGGUCCAAUCCCAUCUACCCUCCACUGGUGCCCAGGGGCUUUGCCCUGCUACAGCAGCUGGCAGCGGGGAUGCUCCAGGCCAGGCUCUGUACAACCACAGGGAGGGGUCGUUACCCCAGAGAAGGGGCAGCCUGGAGGGAUCAGAGAGGAAGGCAUGGACUCUUCUGCCAUUCCACGCUUGGGGAACGGGGGCACAGGGGGGUUCAACACCUGCCCCAGCAGCCCCCAGGGAGUCUGCUGCAGAGCUGGGACCUGACGGCUGCUCUCUGGAGUCUCAGCUCUGCACAGGAACCGUGAGACCAGCUGCCCUUUUGUGGGGAAGGCAGAAACACCAAAACCACCAAACCUGAUGUAGCCUCCCUCUGCCAAUGCCUGGUGCUCCCACAGCCUCCCCUCCAGCACUCGGAGCUAUAGGAAGACAACCGCAUCAGAAGACAGCAAUAAGGACAGCAGCAGUGACCGCAGCAGCAAGUCCUCCGGCAAAAGCAACCACGAAUGAACUGAGUUUUAAACUCCAUAUUCGGGGAUCAGACUAAACGACAGGGGGCUGGAGGAAGACGAAAUCGUGCGGAUGGGUGUGUGGCAGUGCUGUUCUGCGGGUGUGUAUAUUGUGACGGGUGCGAGGGUGUUCCUCUGGUCAGUUAAGUAGGUAAUGAAUUGUGACC